UACGUAGGGUGCGAGCGUUAUUCGGAAUUACUGGGCGUAAAGCGUGCGUAGGCGGCGCGUUAAGACAGGUGUGAAAGCCCCGAGCUUAACUUGGGAAUUGCGCUUGUGACUGGCGAGCUGGAGUGUGGCAGAGGGAGGUGGAAUUCCACGUGUAGCAGUGAAAUGCGUAGAGAUGUGGAGGAACACCGAUGGCGAAGGCAGCCUCCUGGGCCAGCACUGACGCUCAUGCACGAAAGCGUGGGGAGCAAACAGG
rnacentral:rRNA from 1 species